UUUCCGUAGGUGAACCUGCGGAAGGAUCAUUCAUAAUAAGUGUUUUAUGGCACUUUUUUAAAUCCAUAUCCACCUUGUGUGCAAUGUCAGGGUUGGUCUGUUUUGAUCAGCCCCAAACAUCAACUAUUAUCUCAACUCUUUGUCUGAAAAAUAUUAUGAAUAAAACAAUUCAAAAUACAACUUUCAACAACGGAUCUCUUGGCUCCC
rnacentral:misc_RNA from 1 species